AAAGUGCAUGCUGCUCAAUAAUGCUUUUUCAAAUACUUCAGCUUGUCCUUGCGUGGGUCAAUAUUUCUUUCUAGUUAAAUUUUAUUUCCCUUGUGGUCACAAGGGAAGUAUGCAACUGUGUGCUUUUUACUCUUGGUAUAGGGUGAUGGAGCAAUCUGUUUUCACACAUGCAGAGUUGAGCUCUUAAUCCUUUUGUAAAAUGCCAGGGGAGUUAUGUUCAGAAAAUCUGAGUCCCUUCCUUUGGCAGAUAAGGGAAAGAGAAGGUACACUAGAUACCUAAGCGUAAUUCAUUACAAUCAAGAAACCCCACCCACAGCAGCAAAAGAGCGGCUCAGAAAACACCCCAACUUUUUCACGAUGGAAUUAACCGAGUGAUUCAAAAGCUGUUUGUCAGGAAGUGAAGGAGGUGGCAGAGAGCAACGUGAUUGAAAUGCUCACAUAAUAUUCCUGUGCAGAGCCUUCCUGCAUUUUAUGUGUACAUCUCCUAUCCAGCCUCCUUCCUUGAGCUCCUUUAGCUGUUGAUACCCUGCUGAUUUAGGGUGCAGCAGAGAGCGCCGUCAG